AGAGUUUGAUCCUGGCUCAGGACGAACGCUGGCGGCGCGCCUAACACAUGCAAGUCGAACGGAGCUGAGAGGAGCUUGCUUUUCUCAGCUUAGUGGCGAACGGGUGAGUAACGCGUGAGUAACCUGCCCUGGAGUGGGGGACAACAGUUGGAAACGACUGCUAAUACCGCAUAAGCCCACGAUCCGGCAUCGGAUUGAGGGAAAAGGAUUUAUUCGCUUCAGGAUGGACUCGCGUCCAAUUAGCUAGUUGGUGAGGUAACGGCCCACCAAGGCGACGAUUGGUAGCCGGACUGAGAGGUUGAACGGCCACAUUGGGACUGAGACACGGCCCAGACUCCUACGGGAGGCAGCAGUGGGGGAUAUUGCACAAUGGGGGAAACCCUGAUGCAGCGACGCCGCGUGGAGGAAGAAGGUUUUCGGAUUGUAAACUCCUGUCGUUAGGGACGAUAAUGACGGUACCUAACAAGAAAGCACCGGCUAACUACGUGCCAGCAGCCGCGGUAAAACGUAGGGUGCAAGCGUUGUCCGGAAUUACUGGGUGUAAAGGGAGCGCAGGCGGACCGGCAAGUUGGAAGUGAAAACUAUGGGCUCAACCCAUAAAUUGCUUUCAAAACUGCUGGCCUUGAGUAGUGCAGAGGUAGGUGGAAUUCCCGGUGUAGCGGUGGAAUGCGUAGAUAUCGGGAGGAACACCAGUGGCGAAGGCGACCUACUGGGCACCAACUGACGCUGAGGCUCGAAAGCAUGGGUAGCAAACAGGAUUAGAUACCCUGGUAGUCCAUGCCGUAAACGAUGAUUACUAGGUGUGGGAGGAUUGACCCCUUCCGUGCCGCAGUUAACACAAUA
rnacentral:rRNA from 1 species